AAUGUAUUUUGAUGAAAUGUUUGUAAGUUUAUAAACACCAAGAAGGAAAGUUUGUCUCUAAGGACGAAUUUAUUCUGAUAGAAUCUAUUCUUCUAUUGCGUUGCAGCUAUUAUCGACUUCCUGUGAGUCAAAGAAACAAGUCUUCAGAUGAUCAUUACUUGUCUUGGAAAGGAAAUAAAAUAAGAUGAUGUCGCCAUGUAAAGACAGAUAUGUGUGUUAUAUGAGGGCGUUAAAAGGAGUAUUGAUUUGUAGUAGGUGAACUUGCUAAGAAAACGAUAUAACAACAACAACAACAACACUUUUUGUAAGUAAUGGUCAGCAUUAUCAACAAACAGCAGCCCGUGAUUUGAUGUUAGAAGUGCCUUUGAAAACAAAAUCGCGUUGUUUUUGCUACAGAUAUCAUUAUCUGCGGAGAAAUGCUCAACAAGAGGGGUCUAAGCUUAAAGUUACUUAUAAAACCUUUAUUUGUGCACCCGGCGCGAUUUGGAUUUUUCUUCUUUACAUUUUCAUUUUUAUAUUUUGUAUAUGUCACCGUUACACCUGAAACAAUCAACUAUCCUUAUAACA